rnacentral:lncRNA from 1 species
CUCAGGAAGCAGUUGACAUGGACUCAUCUGUUCUGGUAUAAGUGGCACGUGCUAGGGCAAGUCCCACCGCUAGGGACGGGAACAGCUUCUCUCCGGGAAGCUGCCAUCUCCAGCACCAGGCAUUGUGGUAGAAGACCAAUUCUGAGCUAGGAACAGAGCCCAGAAGGCUUUAAGCAGAAGUGAAGGCACAUUCUUUUCUGUCUGGAGGCAGCAAGAUGUGAGGCUGGACAUGCCAGGAGCACGCCGGGGUCUGAGCCGACCCUGCCGCAGAAGGCAGGUGUCUGGCUCUCCCAGGCCAAGCAACACCAUCAUACCCAGGUGAUUGCGCAACUUCCAGGCCCACCCAGGAACACCCACAGGUGGAGCAGAGAAACGCAGAGAUGUGGACGGUCUCUCUUCAGAAGCUUUAUUCUCCCUGGGAGGGGCACACCUCACCCAGCCAAGGGCUGCUUCUGACUGGACAGAGGGCGUCCAAGAUGCAGACAUGGUACUCGUUCAGAGCCGCCUCUCCUGUAAGACACCACAAAGGUCACAGCAGCUCCCACCACAGGCAGGGCACUGCUCGGGGCUGCAAGUGUCUUAUUCCUCAGCAACCACGUGGGGGCAGCUCUGGCUCACCCCACUUCCAGGAAGGUGGCCUGGGAGAAGGCAGGAAGAGGAGGCCGACAGGGACAGAGGAAGCAGGAGUGUCCAGCCUACACAUGCGUGCAUCACGACCCCCCUCUGCAAGCAUCUUGCUCACGGACUUGUCACAAGUUCCC